rnacentral:rRNA from 1 species
UUUGGUUUUGUAAUUGGAAUGAGUUAAGUAUAAACCCCUUUACAAGUAUCAAUUGGAGGGCAAGUCUGGUGCCAGCAGCCGCGGUAAUUCCAGCUCCAAUAGCGUAUAUUAAAGUUGUUGCAGUUAAAAAGCUCGUAGUUGGAUUUCUGUUAAUAAUUUAUAUAAAAUAUUUUGAUGAAUAUUUAUAUAAUAUUAACAUAAUUCAUAUUACUAUUUUUUUUUUUAGUAUAUGAAAUUUUACUUUGAGAAAAUUAGAGUGCUUAAAGCAGGCAUAUGCCUUGAAUACUCCAGCAUGGAAUAAUAUUAAAGAUUUUUAUCUUUUUUAUUGGUUCUAAGAUAAGAAUAAUGAUUAAUAGGGACAGUUGGGGGCAUUUGUAUUUAACAGUCAGAGGUGAAAUUCUUAGAUUUGUUAAAGACAAACUAAUGCGAAAGCAUUUGCCAAGGAUGUUUUCAUUAAUCAAGAACGAAAGUUAGGGGAUCGAAGACGAUCAGAUACCGUCGUAGUC